AUUGAACGCUGGCGGCAGGCUUAACACAUGCAAGUCGAGCGGGGUGAUGGUGCUUGCACUAUCACCCAGCGGCGGACGGGUGAGUAAUGCUUAGGAAUCUGCCUAUUAGUGGGGGACAACAUCUCGAAAGGGAUGCUAAUACCGCAUACGUCCUACGGGAGAAAGCAGGGGAUCACUUGUGACCUUGCGCUAAUAGAUGAGCCUAAGUCGGAUUAGCUAGUUGGUGGGGUAAAGGCCUACCAAGGCGACGAUCUGUAGCGGGUCUGAGAGGAUGAUCCGCCACACUGGGACUGAGACACGGCCCAGACUCCUACGGGAGGCAGCAGUGGGGAAUAUUGGACAAUGGGGGGAACCCUGAUCCAGCCAUGCCGCGUGUGUGAAGAAGGCCUUAUGGUUGUAAAGCACUUUAAGCGAGGAGGAGGCUCUUUUGGUAAAUACCCAAGAUGAGUGGACGUUACUCGCAGAAUAAGCACCGGCUAACUCUGUGCCAGCCGCCGCCGUAA
rnacentral:rRNA from 1 species